AUUGAACGCUGGCGGCAGGCCUAACACAUGCAAGUCGAGCGGAUGAAGGGAGCUUGCUCCUGGAUUCAGCGGCGGACGGGUGAGUAAUGCCUAGGAAUCUGCCUGGUAGUGGGGGAUAACGUCCGGAAACGGGCGCUAAUACCGCAUACGUCCUGAGGGAGAAAGUGGGGGAUCUUCGGACCCCACGCUAUCAGAUGAGCCUAGGUCGGAUUAGCUAGUUGGUGGGGUAAAGGCCUACCAAGGCGACGAUCCGUAACUGGUCUGAGAGGAUGAUCAGUCACACUGGAACUGAGACACGGUCCAGACUCCUACGGGAGGCAGCAGUGGGGAAUAUUGGACAAUGGGCGAAAGCCUGAUCCAGCCAUGCCGCGUGUGUGAAGAAGGUCUUCGGAUUGUAGAGCACUUUAAGUUGGGAGGAAGGGCAGUAAGUUAAUACCUUGCUGUUUUGACGUUACCAACAGAAUAAGCACCGGCUAACUUCGUG
rnacentral:rRNA from 1 species